rnacentral:rRNA from 1 species
GAGGGAAAUAUGUAAUACCUAACGGCUGAACCAGCAACUUGGAAGAAUGAAACCGAUUAACUAAUUUUUUAGAGGCUUUCUAAAAAAAUCAUCGGUAAAAGAAUAAUCUAUAAAAUUCUAAAUAAAAAUAAUGAAAAUGACAAUUUUUAUUUAUGUGUCUUGACCAAAUCACGUGCCAGCAGUCGCGGUAAGACGUGGAAGACUAGUGUUAUUCAUCUUUAUUAGGUUUAAAGGGUACCUAGACAGCUAAUAAAGCCUAAAAAAGGAACUAAUUGGCUAGAGUGUUAUAUGAGAAAAUAGAAUGAUGAGUGUAGAGAUAGAAUUCUGUGAUACCAUUUUAGACUGUUAAAAGCGAAGGCAAUUUUUUAUGUAAACACUGACGUUAAGGGACGAAGGCUUAUGGUAAUGAACAGGAUUAGAUACCCUAGUAGUCAAAGCAGACAAUGCUGAGUGUCAUAUAUAAGUAAUAAUAAAAGUAUAUUUAUAUAUAAAUGAAAAUGUAAGCACUCCACCUCAAGAGUAAUAUGGCAACGUAUAAACUGAAAUCACUAGACCGUUUCUGAAAUCAGCAGUGAAGUAUGUUAUUUAAUUUGAUGAUCCGCGGAAAACCUUACCACAAUUUGAAUAUUUAUAUAUUAAUAUAAUUACAGGUGUUGCACGGCUGUCUUCAGUUAAUGUCGUGAGAUUUUGGUUAGUUCCAUUAAAUUGACGUAAACCCUUACUUUAUUUAUUAUAAAGUGGCUCAUCACUAUAUUGAUAUGUGAUAAUAGGGACCAAGACAAGUCAUCAUGGCUCUAANCUUGUGGUAAAAAGGGGGGGCCCCAAAAAAAAAACCUAAAAAA